rnacentral:rRNA from 1 species
UACGUAGGGGGCAAGCGUUGUCCGGAAUCAUUGGGCGUAAAGAGCGCGUAGGCGGUCCGGUAAGUCCGCUCUGAAAGUCCGGGGCUCAACCCCGGGAGGCGGGCGGAUACUGUCGGGCUAGAGUCCGGAAGAGGCGAGUGGAAUUCCUGGUGUAGCGGUGAAAUGCGCAGAUAUCAGGAGGAACACCGAUGGCGAAGGCAGCUCGCUGGGACGGUACUGACGCUGAGGCGCGAAAGCGUGGGAGCAAACAGG